UACAGAGGGGGCAAGCGUUGUUCGGAAUUACUGGGCGUAAAGGGCUCGUAGGCGGUUUGUCGCGCCGGGAGUGAAAAUCCAGGGCUUAACUCUGGACUGGCUUCCGAUACGGGCAGACUAGAGGUAUGCAGGGGAGAACGGAAUUCCUGGUGUAGCGGUGAAAUGCGCAGAUAUCAGGAGGAACACCGGUGGCGAAGGCGGUUCUCUGGGCAUUACCUGACGCUGAGGAGCGAAAGUGUGGGGAGCGAACAGG
rnacentral:rRNA from 1 species